rnacentral:rRNA from 1 species
UGGGGAAUAUUGCACAAUGGGCGAAAGCCUGAUGCAGCAACGCCGCGUGAGGGAAGACGGUUUUCGGAUUGUAAACCUCUGUUUUCGGUGACGAACAAAUGACGGUAACCGAGUAGGAAGCCACGGCUAACUACGUGCCAGCAGCCGCGGUAAUACGUAGGUGGCAAGCGUUAUCCGGAAUUACUGGGUGUAAAGGGAGCGUAGACGGAACGGCAAGUUUGAAGUGAAAUACCCGGGCUUAACUCGGGAACUGCUUUGAAAACUGUCGAUCUAGAGUGUCGGAGAGGUAAGUGGAAUUCCUGGUGUAGUAGUGAAAUGCGUAGAUAUCAGGAAGAACACCGGAGGCGAAGGCGGCUUACUGGACGAUAACUGACGUUGAGGCUCGAAAGCGUGGGGAGCAAACAGGAUUAGAUACCCUGGUAGU